AAAACUAGGUGAGGCUGAAUAUGGUAUGAGGACCUCCUUCCCCAGCAAGGUGGCAGCUUGAACAUCGGGAACAGCAGGGUGGACCUCCUUUGUCCACACUCUUUUAUGGUUCUCUCUUCACCCCCUUCUAGGCCAGACCCUUCACUGCAGGGGAGAAGGUUGCUGCUCUGUGCUCUCUGCUGGGCCGGUACCCACAGAGCUUCCAUGUACCCAGAGCUGCAGGGAGGAAGCCACUGAAUGGCCGAGCUACACCUUGAACCCAGGUCUGUCACACUGGAGGCCUGAAAUUUUACCUGUGCAAUGCACAACUGUUGGAAUGCAGGCACGCUGUCCACUGCUCUAGUCACUUUCUACAGAUUACGAGUCUGGUUACACGUGAGGUUCAUUGGAUCCUGGACAUACUGUGGGGUGGUGAGUACACAAGCAUCAGGGGCACAGAGGCCCAAAAGGCACCAAGCACCAGGCAGGAAGGAGUUCACAGACUGGGUUACACGAAGCCCUUGGUGUCCAGCGAUAACUUAAGAUUGAACCAUCACAAGGAGCCCCUGGAGUGUGGUCACCUGCCUCUCAUCCUCAACUUGACUACAUCAGGCCCAGCAUCAGCAUCUCAGCAUCACCCUCAUCCUGUCCCCGACUUAAGAACCAGAAGAAUGAGUUUCUGUGGGACAAAGAGUGCACUUCCAGAGGAAUCAGAGACCUGUGUCCCAAUCUUGCUCUACCUACUACCCCUGGCUGCUCGAAUUCUUAUAAGUCACUUAGCUUCUCUGAGCUUUACUUUAUUUUCUCUCAAAGAGGGAGAGUAGUCUCUCUUGAAUGAAGAUGGGA